UACAGAGGUCUCAAGCGUUGUUCGGAUUCAUUGGGCGUAAAGGGUGCGUAGGUGGCGGGGUCAGUCAGGUGUGAAAUCUCGGGGCUCAACCUCGAAACUGCACUUGAUACUGCCUUGCUGGAGUACUGGAGAGGAGAUUGGAAUUUACGGUGUAGCAGUGAAAUGCGUAGAUAUCGUAAGGAAGACCAGUGGCGAAGGCGAAUCUCUGGACAGUUACUGACACUGAGGCACGAAGGCCAGGGGAGCAAACGGG
rnacentral:rRNA from 1 species